rnacentral:rRNA from 1 species
GAUGAACGCUAGCGGGAGGCCUAACACAUGCAAGCCGAGCGGUAUUGUUUCUUCGGAAAUGAGAGAGCGGCGUACGGGUGCGUAACACGUGUGCAACCUGCCUUUAUCUGGGGGAUAGCCUUUCGAAAGGAAGAUUAAUACUCCAUAAUAUAUUGAACGGCAUCGUUUAAUAUUGAAAGCUCCGGCGGAUAGAGAUGGGCACGCGAAAGAUUAGCUAGUUGGUGAGGUAACGGCUGACCAAGGCGAUGAUCUUUAGGGGGCCUGGGAGGGUGAUCCCCCACACUGGUACUGAGACACGGACCAGACUCCUACGGGAGGCAGCCGUGAGGAAUAUUGGUCAAUGGGUGCAAGCCUGACCCAGCCAUCCCGCGUGAAGGACGACUGCCCUAUGGGUUGUAAACUUCUUUUGUAUAGGGAUAAACCUACCCUCGUGAGGGUAGCUGAAGGUACUAUACGAAUAAGCACCGGCUAACUCCGUGCCAGCCGCCGCAGUAA